rnacentral:tRNA from 1 species
GGGGGUGUAGCUCAGUUGGUAGAGCGACUGCAUGGCAUGCAGUAGGUAGUCGGUUCGAUCCCGAUCACCUCCA